rnacentral:lncRNA from 1 species
UCCACUUGCUUUGUGCUAUAGGAAAAUUUUGGUAGAUGUUGGGGUUUUACUUCUGGUGGUUGGGUAGUCAAUGCAUUGAUUUUGAGUAUGUUGAGUUGUUUUGAGCUGCCACAAGUGGUGAAUAGUAUGUGUACAAAAGGGGAGUAAAUUGUGCAGAUGGGUUGGUACUGCUGUUGAUAAGAGUGUUAAAUGGGAGUAGGUCUUAGGGGAGUAAGGUACUUGCUGUUUUUUUUUGUUUGUUUUUUGUUAUUGUGAUAGAUGUAAAUAUAACAUAGUAUUAAUUUUAAAGAGUUUUGGUUGCAAUAUUUGUAUUGCUAUAGUAGCUGAACAUGCAUGGCUUGUGCUUAAUAACAAAGAAGAAGAUAAAAGUUCAAGCGACUGAAGAAAUGGUGAUGAUAAAGUACGAGCUCUGAGUAUGAAAUCAUCUCUAAUAGGGAACAAUUUACUUUCACAGUAGGAUUCUUUGGCGUAAAAGCAGUGACCAGAGGCAGAUUUGUAGGCAUUUACAUAGGGCACGUGAACUCAUGGGGUCUUUCCGUCAAACUAGGUAUUUUAUGUAUAUAUUUUUUAAAAUUGGUCUAGUAUUAUCUGCUGGCACCCAUGUUCCAAAAAGGCUGAAUGGUGCACUUAAUUGAAUGUUGAGUUGUUUACCUAGAGGCUAGAGCAUUAUGAUCAAAUCCCACUUAAUACUUCCUCUUUUUUUCUCUUUUUUGUGGUGUACCCAUAUCUUUAAAAUUUUAGAUCCUAUGUUGGACCCUAAAGUGCGUAUCGAGAUGAAAACCAAAAAAAUUUCAAAAUGUUAUAAAACAAUAA